UGUAACUUACCGAAUAAAUCCCCAUUGGACCUGGACCAGGACAAAACCGCCUGCAUCAAGAGGGCCUCACAUGGCCAAAUCCCGACACUGCCAUCCCUUUCCAAAGCCUCACUUUCUCCCCACCAGGACCACCACCCCAGCUACAAACAGGGUUCCUGCUUGGGAAUAGCUGUCUCAGAGACCAUCCUGCCGCGCCCGCAGGAGCGCACAGCUCUUCUGAUGGCCAUCAGAUGGUGCCAUUGAGUCUUCUUCGGAGGCAAAGCCCCGACGACAGCGAGCUUGGAGCAGGGAGCGCUCAUGUUCCUUGCUGCAGCACACAGGAAGGGAACGGAGCUGGAUUGCCCACCUCCAGAUAAAACCAGAUAAAGAGAUUCCUAGCGUAGGAGCUGGCAAGGAAAGGCGCAUUUGUGCUUUCUGUUGUUUCCAAAGAUGUGAGCAAGCUUCUGUGUCACCACCUGUGGGUUUUGCACCGGUCUUGCAAGGUUGGCUAUAUUCCUGCAGUGAUGUCAGCGUAGGAGAAGGCGACAGCAGCGUAGGAGCAUUUCAGCCUCAGUUUCCUCAAAACAAGUGAAUAAAGCCUGCCAUCCAGCUGAGGUCCUCAUUGCAAAGAGGCAUGAAUAAUAACCGGCCACAUUUCAUUCCUGUUCUUCUUUGGAUUUUAAUUGCGUGAGAUGAGAGGGGAGAAAAAUGGUAGCAAGCAGAGGAAGCCCGAGAAGGAGAGAGAGGAGGAAUCAUCACUAUUGCAUUUCGUCAGCGAUAAGAAUGGCUGCUGAGCUGGAGUGAGUGGUUUCCAAGUGCAGCGGGAGCCAGCUUCAAUUUCACAGCAUAAUCUUUCCUGUGGCCUUAAAAUAACUUCUCCCUGCCCCCAGGGUAUCACAGGAGCUGCAGAGCCGUGCAUGCUCCUUCCCUGCACGGCUCCGCGUUCAGCGCUUGCCUUAUCUGUGGCUGGGGGCUGUUUGGAGAGCGCUGGCAUCGCAUGUGUCACACGGAGGCGCAGAGCCCUGGAACAGAAAGGGGACAUUUUUCAGACCCGUGGUCUCCCCAGGAGGGCAGCAGGCUGGGCAGAGCUGACUGUUUGAGCUCCUCUUUGGUGCCAGCAAAAGAGCAGCUUCCCCGAAGUGCUCCGCAGAGACGGGACCUCUUUAUUGUCGGGGCUAAUUGCUCAUGUGAGAUGUACUUACAGAGGCGGCUGUUUGUGCAGAGAGGGAUAGACAAACAGACUCCUGUUCUGCCAGGCACCCUUUGUAAUCAGAGGGGGCUGGGAGUACUUUAGUGCAGUCAUGGCAGACCUCAUUUGCACCGCCAGCACCGAUCCUGCACUGGCUUGGAUGAUGGUUGGGGGUGCUGAGCUCCAUCCCAUUGCUCAGCUCAUGAGUGACAGUUCAGAGCAAUUCCCCCUCCCUGGAUGUAUUCAGGGCCAGCUUGGAUGGGGCCCUGAGCAGCCUGAUGUGGUGGGAGGCAGUCCUGCCCAGGACAAGGGGCUGGAACUGGGUAGGCUUUAAGGCCCCUUUUCAACCGAAGCCAUUCUGUGAUUCUAUGGUUCCCUGCACUCAGCCCACUGCUUGCUCUUGUACAUCUUUGCCCAGCAACCUCGCCGUGCCCAUGACUUGCAAAUCUAACACUGGGUAAAAGCAUCCAGGACUCUGAAAAACAGACCCGCGGACGUUCUUCAGCUUCACAUCUGCUGCCUAUGGAAGAGCCAUUAUUCCUCAGUUGGAAGAAUAGAGAGACCUACCUAAUUCUGAGCACUCCCAAGCCAUGAAUGUUUCAGGGCAUUUACAUGUCAGCUCCCACAAGACAUUUGAUGUAGAGGGAAGCGUUCCUUUUCCCAGAUGAGCACCGCUUUAUUACUUGCCGGGCAAAGAAGCCAACUGAAAAGCCAACACGCAAGUCAGCUAUACGUGGAAGAUUGUGUGUGAGCUGCUAUCAAAUAUUGCAUUUUGUACGAAUCUGGUCACAAAAACUGCAGGAGGGAAAAAAAUAAGAAAAUAAACCUUCAGGACAGCUAUUCCAAGGCAGCUCUUAGCCAUACUGAGCCACCUUGGGGACUGCAGCGUCGCUCUUCAGGGCUGGCAGGAUCUAGAAGAGCCCUUGGGUAGACUGGAGCUUCUAAGACAUCCUUACUGUCCUGUAAUUUCCCUUCCUACCACAUCUACAUGUCAAGCAUCAGCUCUUGUAAAACAUCUUGUAUUCAUGUCAUGCUAGCACUUGCAAGCCUGUUGCCCUCAAAAGGACCAUCCUUUCGCUAUGAUGUAUAAUAUAACGUCUAGCACAGGUGAGUCCUACAGCCUGCCGGCCUGGAUAUUGUCAAAGAAAUAAUGGCUGCAAAGCGUUUUUCAGAGGGUUUAGGAGCAGAAGGGGAAUUACAGGACAACCACUGGAAAAACCACUGCUCCUAAGUUGACGCAUCUCCGCUUUUCAGAGAUGGAUGGAGACGUCUCUACACAGAGGUGCUGAUGGAGAGAAGUCCCAGCAGGGAAGAAUAUGAAAUAGUGGGUCUGCCAGAGGGAUUCCUGGGCUUUUCAGUGGCUGGAGGGAAAAGGGGGAAAAAAAAUAUAAAGACAGUAGCUGUAAUGUUUGUAAUAUCAAUUUGACAACUGAUAAAAACUAUAAAAUAAUAAUCAUAAGUGAGAUAGACACGGAUGCCCCGUGGCAUUGCAAAGUAUGAUAGGAAAGAUUAAUAAAAUAGACGUCAGCUUCUUGAAUUGCUAUUGCAGCAUUAAUUCCCCCCGUGCCAGUUGCUGUAUGCCUUCCUUGAUACGAUCAGGAGGAAAACAUCUAAUCUGACGUGACAACCUCAUUGUAUUAGGAGUCAUCUCUGCUUUAAAACACGUGUCAUAUGACCGAACGCCCCGCUCAGGGUACAAUGCACCCCUCAGUAAAAUCGGGCAGAGCUCAUCCUUAAAUGCCCUGCCAAAAAUAUUCCCAACAAAGGCCAACAAGAAAACAUAAUUCAAAUGAGGGACAUCUGCUCCCUAAUGUUUGCAGAUAAUGACUGGAUCGAGCGGCCGCAUAAAGGAGAAUUAUUUUCUGCAGAUGGUUUGAUCUGAUACUUCAAACUGUGUGCGAGAUCUUUGUCCCAGCCGCCCUGCAAAGUGUGUGGGGUUUUGCCGGCGUGAGACUUCUCCCCCAUCCUCUGGUUUCGUAAAUGCAAAGGUGACUGAAAGUGUGGAAGUUGCAGAAGGCAAAAUAGAGCAUGUAUGUGUCGUGCAGGUUUCAGAGGGGAGCCCACUAAUGGUGGACCCUCAACCAGCCUCCAGAAGCCGGUAUAGCUCCCCUCAGGACGCUCCAUAGCUCCCCUCAGGACGCCGCUGGUCCCGAGCAAGGAGGAUCUUGCAAGGAGCCCAAGGAUGCAGCUGUCGGCCAUCGUAGGAGCAGGUUUUAAUUACCUCGUGUCCUACGUGCGUCAUCACCCCCACAUCUGUGAAUAGCUCCACCAAAGACCGGGGCAAUCGAGAAGGAGGUCAUACUUCUGCUUUAGUAUACGCCGACAAACGACUGUGGCUCUGGGAACAACACACUGAGACGUUUGGAAUGGAAGGGAUUCCUCCUCUCGAUCAGCGCCACUGACAGCCCA
ensembl:lncRNA